rnacentral:ribozyme from 1 species
CCCUACCAAUUGCAUGUACCUUGACGUGGUGGUAGGGCAACUAAUUGAUCCGUUAUGAAAAGUCAUACUUUGUGAAUUGAAGUAACCAACAUGUCUUGCUAUUGAUAGCAAGUAGACCCAAAUUGUACUCAUUCAACUACGGUUCAAUUAGACUAAACAUGC